GGCGAACGCUGGCGGCGUGCUUAACACAUGCAAGUCGAACGGAAAGGCCCUGCUUUUGUGGGGUGCUCGAGUGGCGAACGGGUGAGUAACACGUGAGUAACCUGCCCUUGACUUUGGGAUAACUUCAGGAAACUGGGUCUAAUACCGGAUAGGAGCUCCUGCUGCAUGGUGGGGGUUGGAAAGUUUCGGCGGUUGGGGAUGGACUCGCGGCUUAUCAGCUUGUUGGUGGGGUAGUGGCUUACCAAGGCUUUGACGGGUAGCCGGCCUGAGAGGGUGACCGGCCACAUUGGGACUGAGAUACGGCCCAGACUCCUACGGGAGGCAGCAGUGGGGAAUAUUGCACAAUGGGCGGAAGCCUGAUGCAGCAACGCCGCGUGCGGGAUGACGGCCUUCGGGUUGUAAACCGCUUUCGCCUGUGACGAAGCGUGAGUGACGGUAAUGGGUAAAGAAGCACCGGCUAACUACGUG
rnacentral:rRNA from 1 species